GGAGGUAUAGCUCGGUGGUAGAGCGUUUAACUGCAGAUCAAGAGGUCCUCACUUCAAAUCUGGGGGUCCUCU
rnacentral:tRNA from 1 species